rnacentral:lncRNA from 1 species
AGUGCCUUGCUAAAAAAAAAGCAAUUCAAGUGAAGACCCAAAGCCCUGACAGGAACUGUUGAUGAAGAUAGCCUGUGACUUCACCCCUGAUGAGAGCAGUUGUGCUCUGGAAGUUUUGUCACUGGACUGCCAGUGCUUCAUCCCUGGGGUCUGCUGACCAUAAGACAAAAACCACACGCAGCUGUUCCCUGCUUAACAUCACCCGAAGAGCAGCCUCAGACCACGGGGAGAGGUGUGCAGACAGGUCCCAGCCACAAUGACUGCAGAUUAUUCCAGUUGUGGUAAUAGACUCCUCACUAGAUGAAUCCACGAGAAGACUGGUCUUUAAUUGGAUGGGUGAGACUUUCCCUGUCCUGUGCAAAAUCAGGUGAAUCUGAGCUGCAUGGAGCUCCUUCCACUGCCAUCGCACUUUGAAUCUCUUUCAACCAUGCUUAUAUAGGAAACAAAUUAUGCUCUAGACAGCUGGGGUCAAUGUUCCUGGAGCCCUGCUAGGCACCCUGUCAAGGCGCAGUACCCAUGUUUCUCUGAUUUUUUUUCUACUUUGCAACUUAGACUGGAUCCCAGUUUCUCCAUU